rnacentral:rRNA from 1 species
UGGGGAAUAUUGGACAAUGGGGGCAACCCUGAUCCAGCCAUGCCGCGUGAGUGAUGAAGGCCUUAGGGUUGUAAAGCUCUUUCGCCGGGGAAGAUAAUGACGGUACCCGGAGAAGAAGCCUCGGCUAACUCCGUGCCAGCAGCCGCGGUAAGACGGAGGAGGCUAGCGUUGUUCGGAAUUACUGGGCGUAAAGCGUACGCAGGUGGCGAAGCAAGUCGGAUGUGAAAGCCCGGGGCUCAACCCCGGAUGUGCAUCCGAUACUGUUUUGCUGGAGUCCGGGAGAGGAGAGCGGAAUUCCCAGUGUAGAGGUGAAAUUCGUAGAUAUUGGGAAGAACACCGGUGGCGAAGGCGGCUCUCUGGUCCGGUACUGACACUCAAGUACGAAAGCGUGGGGAGCAAACAGG